AUUAAACGCUGGCGGCAUGCCUUACACAUGCAAGUCGAACGGCAGCACGGGGGCAACCCUGGUGGCGAGUGGCGGACGGGUGAGUAAUGCAUCGGAACGUACCUUGGAGUGGGGGAUAACGUAGCGAAAGUUACGCUAAUACCGCAUAUUCUGUGAGCAGGAAAGCAGGGGAUCGCAAGACCUUGCGCUCUGGGAGCGGCUGAUGUCGGAUUAGCUAGUUGGUGGGGUAAUGGCCUACCAAGGCGACGAUCCGUAGCGGGUCUGAGAGGAUGAUCCGCCACACUGGGACUGAGACACGGCCCAGACUCCUACGGGAGGCAGCAGUGGGGAAUUUUGGACAAUGGGCGGAAGCCUGAUCCAGCCAUGCCGCGUGAGUGAAGAAGGCC
rnacentral:rRNA from 1 species